rnacentral:lncRNA from 10 species
GGCAUGAGCCACCGCACCUGGUCCUAUUUCCCUUUUCUAGACUCAAGCUAUACUCCAUAUUUAUUGGAAGCCAGUUACUAAGACCCGCUUACACUCAAAAGGAGUGGAAUCGAGACAGGGUUUCGCCAUGUUGCUAAGGCUGGUCUUGAACUCUCGGACUCAAGUGAUCCUCCUGCCUCAGCCUCCCAAAGUGCUGGGAUUACAGGACUUCUUCCUGCCACCUUGUGAAGAAGGUGCUUUGCUUCCUUUUUGCUUUCCGUCAUGAUUGUAAGUUUCCUGAGGCCUCCCCAGCCAUGCUGAACUGUGAGUCAAUUAAACCUCUUUCCUUUAUAAAUUACCCAGUCUCGGGCCGUUCUUUAUAGCAGUAUGAAAAUGGACUAAUACAGCUUGUGUGAUAAUUUCACUGGAUGAUGUGAAGGCUUUUUUGAAAAUGUUCAAGGCUCUGCCCAAAUAUGUGAUGGUGGAAUUUAUUAUGAUAUGCAAAUGAUACUUAUAAUAGUGAUGUGAUUUUAUUUAUUUAUUUAUUUUUUUUGAGACAGGGUCUCACUCUGUCUCUCAGGAUGGAGUGCAGUGGUGCGAUCACAGCUCACUGCAGUCUCAACCUCCUGGGCUCAAUUGAUCCUCCCACCUCAGCCUCUUGAGCAACUGGGACUACAGGCAUGCACCAACACACC